rnacentral:rRNA from 1 species
AACGAACGCUGGCGGCAUGCCUAAUACAUGCAAGUCGAACGAGAUCUUCGGAUCUAGUGGCGCUCGGGUGCGUAACGCGUGGGAAUCUGCCCUUGGGUUCGGAAUAACUUCUGGAAACGGAAGCUAAUACCGGAUGAUGACGUAAGUCCAAAGAUUUAUCGCCCAAGGAUGAGCCCGCGUAGGAUUAGGUAGUUGGUGAGGUAAAGGCUCACCAAGCCGACGAUCCUUAGCUGGUCUGAGAGGAUGAUCAGCCACACUGGGACUGAGACACGGCCCAGACUCCUACGGGAGGCAGCAGUAGGGAAUAUUGGACAAUGGGCGAAAGCCUGAUCCAGCAAUGCCGCGUGAGUGAUGAAGGCCUUAGGGUUGUAAAGCUCUUUUACCCGGGAUGAUAAUGACAGUACCGGGAGAAUAAGCUCCGGCUAACUCCGUG